GAUGAACGCUGGCGGCGUGCUUAACACAUGCAAGUCGAGCGAAGCGCUUUGGUUAGAUUCUUCGGAUGAAGACCUUUGUGACUGAGCCGCGGACGGGUGAGUAACGCGUGGGUAACCUGCCUCAUACAGGGGGAUAACAGUUAGAAAUGACUGCUAAUACCGCAUAAGACCACAGUACCGCAUGGUACAGGGGUAAAAACUCCGGUGGUAUGAGAUGGACCCGCGUUGGAUUAGCUAGUUGGCAGGGCAAUGGCCUACCAAGGCGACGAUCCAUAGCCGGCCUGAGAGGGUGAACGGGCCACAUUGGGACUGAGACACGGCCCAGACUCCUACGGGAGCAGCAGUGGGGAAUAUUGCACAAUGGGGGAAACCCU
rnacentral:rRNA from 1 species